rnacentral:misc_RNA from 1 species
UUUCCGUAGGUGAACCUGCGGAAGGAUCAUUAAUACGCCCCCGGACAUGAUCUGUCAGAAAUGGCCCGGUAUGCUUAGGCCAAUCGCCAUCCGUGUGUCGUGUAUAAUUGUUGCUUUGGUGAACCGCCCCUUGGGCACCGGCUUCGUCUGGCCCGCGCCCGCCCUAGGACCCCAAACUCUGUAUGUUCGUGAUGUCUGAGUACUAUUUAAUAAUUAAAACUUUCAACAACGGAACUCUUGUUUCUUGCAUCCAUGAAGAACGCAGCAGAUCGGAAGAGA